rnacentral:rRNA from 1 species
GCGAGCUCUUCGGAGCUAGCGGCGGACGGGUUAGUAACGCGUGGGAACGUGCCCUUCACUGCGGAAUAGCCACUGGAAACGGUGAGUAAUACCGCAUACGCCCUUCGGGGGAAAGAUUUAUCGGUGAAGGAUCGGCCCGCGUUAGAUUAGAUAGUUGGUGGGGUAACGGCCUACCAAGUCUACGAUCUAUAGCUGGUUUUAGAGGAUGAUCAGCAACACUGGGACUGAGACACGGCCCAGACUCCUACGGGAGGCAGCAGUGGGGAAUCUUGGACAAUGGGCGCAAGCCUGAUCCAGCCAUGCCGCGUGAGUGAUGAAGGCCUUAGGGUCGUAAAGCUCUUUCGCCAGAGAUGAUAAUGACAGUAUCUGGUAAAGAAACCCCGGCUAACUCCGUGCCAGCAGCCGCGGUAAUACGGAGGGGGUUAGCGUUGUUCGGAAUUACUGGGCGUAAAGCGCACGUAGGCGGAUCAGAAAGUUGGGGGUGAAAUCCCGGGGCUCAACCCCGGAACUGCCUCCAAAACUCCUGGUCUUGAGUUCGAGAGAGGUGAGUGGAAUUCCGAGUGUAGAGGUGAAAUUCGUAGAUAUUCGGAGGAACACCAGUGGCGAAGGCGGCUCACUGGCUCGAUACUGACGCUGAGGUGCGAAAGUGUGGGGAGCAAACAGGAUUAGAUACCCUGGUAGUCCACACCGUAAACGAUGAAUGCCAGUCGUCGGGUAGCAUGCUAUUCGGUGACACACCUAACGGAUUAAGCAUUCCGCCUGGGGAGUACGGUCGCAAGAUUAAAACUC